AGAGUUUGAUCCUGGCUCAGGAUGAACGCUGGCGGCGUGCCUAAUACAUGCAAGUCGAGCGAACGGACGAGAAGCUUGCUUCUCUGAUGUUAGCGGCGGACGGGUGAGUAACACGUGGAUAACCUACCUAUAAGACUGGGAUAACUUCGGGAAACCGGAGCUAAUACCGGAUAAUAUUUUGAACCGCAUGGUUCAAAAGUGAAAGACGGUCUUGCUGUCACUUAUAGAUGGAUCCGCGCUGCAUUAGCUAGUUGGUAAGGUAACGGCUUACCAAGGCAACGAUGCAUAGCCGACCUGAGAGGGUGAUCGGCCACACUGGAACUGAGACACGGUCCAGACUCCUACGGGAGGCAGCAGUAGGGAAUCUUCCGCAAUGGGCGAAAGCCUGACGGAGCAACGCCGCGUGAGUGAUGAAGGUCUUCGGAUCGUAAAACUCUGUUAUUAGGGAAGAACAUAUGUGUAAGUAACUGUGCACAUCUUGACGGUACCUAAUCAGAAAGCCACGGCUAACUACGUGCCAGCAGCCGCGGUAAUACGUAGGUGGCAAGCGUUAUCCGGAAUUAUUGGGCGUAAAGCGCGCGUAGGCGGUUUUUUAAGUCUGAUGUGAAAGCCCACGGCUCAACCGUGGAGGGUCAUUGGAAACUGGAAAACUUGAGUGCAGAAGAGGAAAGUGGAAUUCCAUGUGUAGCGGUGAAAUGCGCAGAGAUAUGGAGGAACACCAGUGGCGAAGGCGACUUUCUGGUCUGUAACUGACGCUGAUGUGCGAAAGCGUGGGGAUCAAACAGGAUUAGAUACCCUGGUAGUCCACGCCGUAAACGAUGAGUGCUAAGUGUUAGGGGGUUUCCGCCCCUUAGUGCUGCAGCUAACGCAUUAAGCACUCCGCCUGGGGAGUACGACCGCAAGGUUGAAACUCAAAGGAAUUGACGGGGACCCGCACAAGCGGUGGAGCAUGUGGUUUAAUUCGAAGCAACGCGAAGAACCUUACCAAAUCUUGACAUCCUUUGACAACUCUAGAGAUAGAGCCUUCCCUUCGGGGGACAAAGU
rnacentral:rRNA from 1 species